rnacentral:rRNA from 1 species
AGAGUUUGAUCCUGGCUCAGGACGAACGCUGGCGGCGUGCUUAACACAUGCAAGUCGAGCGAGGCCUUCCCUUCGGGGGAGUGUCCUAGCGGCGAACGGGUGAGUAACACGUGGGCAACCCGCCCUCAGCUCUGGGAUAACUCCAAGAAAUUGGGGCUAAUACCGGAUAUGACUGCUGACCGCAUGGUCUGGUGGUGGAAAGAUUUAUCGGCUGGGGAUGGGCCCGCGGCCUAUCAGCUUGUUGGUGGGGUAGUGGCCUACCAAGGCGACGACGGGUAGCCGGCCUGAGAGGGUGACCGGCCACACUGGGACUGAGACACGGCCCAGACUCCUACGGGAGGCAGCAGUGGGGAAUAUUGCGCAAUGGGCGGAAGCCUGACGCAGCGACGCCGCGUGGGGGAUGACGGCCUUCGGGCUGUAGACCUCUUUCAGCAGGGACGAAGCGAGAGUGACGGUACCUGCAGAAGAAGCACCGGCCAACUACGUGCCAGCCGCCGCGGUAAUAC